rnacentral:pre_miRNA from 1 species
GGGUAGCCGAAGGGGCUCGCUUCAGUCCAGUCCGAGGCAGUGAAAACGGCUGAGACUCAGCUGCUGACUCGUUGGUUCAAGAGCUCACCAUCAAGGUAAAUAUCAGUCCAUGCAACAGUAAAGGUGGUGUGCUUCUGAUACAACGAUGCGGGAGCUGCAUCCAGUUGUGACUGUCACGUCUUGGACUGAAGGGGCCUCUUCAGCUCCUUUUA